rnacentral:rRNA from 1 species
UACGUAGGGCGCAAGCGUUGUCCGGAAUUAUUGGGCGUAAAGAGCUCGUAGGCGGUUUGUCGCGUCUGCUGUGAAAACGCGAGGCUUAACCUCGCGCCUGCAGUGGGUACGGGCAGACUAGAGUGCGGUAGGGGAGACUGGAAUUCCUGGUGUAGCGGUGGAAUGCGCAGAUAUCAGGAGGAACACCGGUGGCGAAGGCGGGUCUCUGGGCCGUUACUGACGCUGGAGGAGCGAAAGCGUGGGGAGCGAACGGG